GUUUCCUAAAAUGGAAAAAAUAGUCCGGAAGACACGACCGGACUGUAUGAAAAUUUUUAUAGCUUUUGGUACAUAUCAUUUGAUUGUUUAAGGAAUUACCCAAACAUAUCAUCACCAGCAACACUUUGUUAAUAAACUACUCAUCUCCUCCGGCAACUUACAAACUGGAAUCCAGACACAACUCUAUAUGUACCAGUUCUUCCUUAUUUUGGAAUAAGCUUCCAAUGCUUACAUUUUUCACAUACGUUUUUUUCUAUAGGCUGUGUCUACCGUAAAUAAAUCUUCAACCCACACGCACACACACAUAUCUGGGGGAAAGCAGGUUCAAGAAGAAAGCAGCAAUCGUAAAGGAACAUCAAGUUCCUAACGUGCUCUGGCUGGGGUGCUAGA